CCUGGUGGCGAGUGGCGAACGGGUGAGUAAUAUAUCGGAACGUGCCCAGUCGUGGGGGAUAACGCAGCGAAAGCUGUGCUAAUACCGCAUACGAUCUCUGGAUGAAAGCGGGGGACUCGCAAGAGCCUCGCGCGAUUGGAGCGGCCGAUAUCAGAUUAGCUAGUUGGUGGGGUAAAAGCCCACCAAGGCGACGAUCUGUAGCUGGUCUGAGAGGACGACCAGCCACACUGGAACUGAGACACGGUCCAGACUCCUACGGGAGGCAGCAGUGGGGAAUUUUGGACAAUGGGCGAAAGCCUGAUCCAGCAAUGCCGCGUGCAGGAUGAAGGCCUUCGGGUUGUAAACUGCUUUUGUACGGAACGAAACGGUCUCUUCUAAUAAAGGGGGCUAAUGACGGUACCGUAAGAAUAAGCACCGGCUAACUACGUGCCAGCAGCCGCGGUAAUACGUAGGGUGCGAGCGUUAAUCGGAAUUACUGGGCGUAAAGCGUGCGCAGGCGGUUAUAUAAGACAGAUGUGAAAUCCCCGGGCUCAACCUGGGA
rnacentral:rRNA from 1 species